rnacentral:rRNA from 1 species
GCGCGAUACAGGGUGACAGCCCCGUACACAAAAAUGCACAUGCUGUGAGCUCGAUGAGUAGGGCGGGACACGUGGUAUCCUGUCUGAAUAUGGGGGGACCAUCCUCCAAGGCUAAAUACUCCUGACUGACCGAUAGUGAACCAGUACCGUGAGGGAAAGGCGAAAAGAACCCCGGCGAGGGGAGUGAAAAAGAACCUGAAACCGUGUACGUACAAGCAGUGGGAGCCUCUUUUAUGGGGUGACUGCGUACCUUUUGUAUAAUGGGUCAGCGACUUAUAUUCUGUAGCAAGGUUAACCGAAUAGGGGAGCCGAAGGGAAACCGAGUCUUAACUGGGCGUUAAGUUGCAGGGUAUAGACCCGAAACCCGGUGAUCUAGCCAUGGGCAGGUUGAAGGUUGGGUAACACUAACUGGAGGACCGAACCGACUAAUGUUGAAAAAUUAGCGGAUGACUUGUGGCUGGGGGUGAAAGGCCAAUCAAACCGGGAGAUAGCUGGUUCUCCCCGAAAGCUAUUUAGGUAGCGCCUCGUGAAUUCAUCUCCGGGGGUAGAGCACUGUUUCGGCAAGGGGGUCAUCCCGACUUACCAACCCGAUGCAAACUGCGAAUACCGGAGAAUGUUAUCACGGGAGACACACGGCGGGUGCUAACGUCCGUCGUGAAGAGGGAAACAACCCAGACCGCCAGCUAAGGUCCCAAAGUCAUGGUUAAGUGGGAAACGAUGUGGGAAGGCCCAGACAGCCAGGAUGUUGGCUUAGAAGCAGCCAUCAUUUAAAGAAAGCGUAAUAGCUCACUGGUCGAGUCGGCCUGCGCGGAAGAUGUAACGGGGCUAAACCAUGCACCGAAGCUGCGGCAGCGACGCUUAUGCGUUGUUGGGUAGGGGAGCGUUCUGUAAGCCUGUGAAGGUGUGCUGUGAGGCAUGCUGGAGGUAUCAGAAGUGCGAAUGCUGACAUAAGUAACGAUAAAGCGGGUGAAAAGCCCGCUCGCCGGAAGACCAAGGGUUCCUGUCCAACGUUAAUCGGGGCAGGGUGAGUCGACCCCUAAGGCGAGGCCGAAAGGCGUAGUCGAUGGGAAACAGGUUAAUAUUCCUGUACUUGGUGUUACUGCGAAGGGGGGACGGAGAAGGCUAUGUUGGCCGGGCGACGGUUGUCCCGGUUUAAGCGUGUAGGCUGGUUUUCCAGGCAAAUCCGGAAAAUCAAGGCUGAGGCGUGAUGACGAGGCACUACGGUGCUGAAGCAACAAAUGCCCUGCUUCCAGGAAAAGCCUCUAAGCAUCAGGUAACAUCAAAUCGUACCCCAAACCGACACAGGUGGUCAGGUAGAGAAUACCAAGGCGCUUGAGAGAACUCGGGUGAAGGAACUAGGCAAAAUGGUGCCGUAACUUCGGGAGAAGGCACGCUGAUAUGUAGGUGAAGUCCCUCGCGGAUGGAGCUGAAAUCAGUCGAAGAUACCAGCUGGCUGCAACUGUUUAUUAAAAACACAGCACUGUGCAAACACGAAAGUGGACGUAUACGGUGUGACGCCUGCCCGGUGCCGGAAGGUUAAUUGAUGGGGUCAGCGCAAGCGAAGCUCUUGAUCGAAGCCCCGGUAAACGGCGGCCGUAACUAUAACGGUCCUAAGGUAGCGAAAUUCCUUGUCGGGUAAGUUCCGACCUGCACGAAUGGCGUAAUGAUGGCCAGGCUGUCUCCACCCGAGACUCAGUGAAAUUGAACUCGCUGUGAAGAUGCAGUGUACCCGCGGCAAGACGGAAAGACCCCGUGAACCUUUACUAUAGCUUGACACUGAACAUUGAGCCUUGAUGUGUAGGAUAGGUGGGAGGCUUUGAAGUGUGGACGCCAGUCUGCAUGGAGCCGACCUUGAAAUACCACCCUUUAAUGUUUGAUGUUCUAACGUUGACCCGUAAUCCGGGUUGCGGACAGUGUCUGGUGGGUAGUUUGACUGGGGCGGUCUCCUCCUAAAGAGUAACGGAGGAGCACGAAGGUUGGCUAAUCCUGGUCGGACAUCAGGAGGUUAGUGCAAUGGCAUAAGCCAGCUUGACUGCGAGCGUGACGGCGCGAGCAGGUGCGAAAGCAGGUCAUAGUGAUCCGGUGGUUCUGAAUGGAAGGGCCAUCGCUCAACGGAUAAAAGGUACUCCGGGGAUAACAGGCUGAUACCGCCCAAGAGUUCAUAUCGACGGCGGUGUUUGGCACCUCGAUGUCGGCUCAUCACAUCCUGGGGCUGAAGUAGGUCCCAAGGGUAUGGCUGUUCGCCAUUUAAAGUGGUACGCGAGCUGGGUUUAGAACGUCGUGAGACAGUUCGGUCCCUAUCUGCCGUGGGCGCUGGAGAACUGAGGGGGGCUGCUCCUAGUACGAGAGGACCGGAGUGGACGCAUCACUGGUGUUCGGGUUGUCAUGCCAAUGGCACUGCCCGGUAGCUAAAUGCGGAAGAGAUAAGUGCUGAAAGCAUCUAAGCACGAAACUUGCCCCGAGAUGAGUUCUCCCUGACCCUUUAAGGGUCCUGAAGGAACGUUGAAGACGACGACGUUGAUAGGCCGGGUGUGUAAGCGCAGCGAUGCGUUGAGCUAACCGGUACUAAUGAACCGUGAGGCUUAACCUUACAACGCCGAAGCUGUU